CUCUGAGACAGGUGCUGCAUGGCUGUCGUCAGCUCGUGUUGUGAAAUGUUGGGUUAAGUCCCGCAACGAGCGCAACCCUUAUCCUUGUUUGCCAGCGAGUAAUGUCGGGAACUCCAGGGAGACUGCCGGUGAUAAACCGGAGGAAGGUGGGGACGACGUCAAGUCAUCAUGGCCCUUACGAGUAGGGCUACACACGUGCUACAAUGGCGCAUACAGAGGGCAGCAAGCUAGCGAUAGUGAGCGAAUCCCAAAAAGUGCGUCGUAGUCCGGAUUGGAGUCUGCAACUCGACUCCAUGAAGUCGGAAUCGCUAGUAAUCG
rnacentral:rRNA from 1 species